rnacentral:rRNA from 1 species
AGAAUGAACGCUGGCGGCAUGCCUAACACAUGCAAGUCGAACGAAUUACCUUCGGGUAGUUAGUGGCGCACGGGUGCGUAACGCGUGGGAAUCUGCCCUUGGGUUCGGAAUAACAGUGAGAAAUUACUGCUAAUACCGGAUAAUGUCGCAAGACCAAAGAUUUAUUGCCCAAGGAUGAGCCCGCGUAAGAUUAGCUAGUUGGUGGGGUAAAGGCCUACCAAGGCGACGAUCUUUAGCUGGUCUGAGAGGAUGAUCAGCCACACUGGGACUGAGACACGGCCCAGACUCCUACGGGAGGCAGCAGUGGGGAAUAUUGGACAAUGGGCGAAAGCCUGAUCCAGCAAUGCCGCGUGAGUGAUGAAGGCCUUAGGGUUGUAAAGCUCUUUUACCCGGGAAGAUAAUGACUGUACCGGGAGAAUAAGCCCCGGCUAACUCCGCGCCAGCAGCCGC